UACAGAGGGUGCAAGCGUUAAUCGGAUUUACUGGGCGUAAAGCGCGCGUAGGCGGCUAAUUAAGUCAAAUGUGAAAUCCCCGAGCUUAACUUGGGAAUUGCAUUCGAUACUGGUUAGCUAGAGUGUGGGAGAGGAUGAUAGAAUUCCAGGUGUAGCGGUGAAAUGCGUAGAGAUCUGGAGGAAUACCGAUGGCGAAGGCAGCCAUCUGGCCUAACACUGACGCUGAGGUGCGAAAGCAUGGGGAGCAAACAGG
rnacentral:rRNA from 1 species